rnacentral:rRNA from 1 species
UACGGAGGGUGCAAGCGUUAAUCGGAAUUACUGGGCGUAAAGCGCGCGUAGGCGGCUUGUUAAGUCGAAUGUGAAAUCCCCGGGCUCAACCUGGGAACUGCAUCCGAUACUGGCUGGCUAGAGUGUGGUAGAGGGAAGUGGAAUUCCAGGUGUAGCGGUGAAAUGCGUAGAUAUCUGGGGGAACAUCAGUGGCGAAGGCGGCUUCCUGGACCAACACUGACGCUGAGGCGCGAAAGCGUGGGGAGCAAACAGGAUUAGAAA